CGUAAUAGCUCACUGGUCGAGUCGGCCUGCGCGGAAGAUGUAACGGGGCUAAACCAUGCACCGAAGCUGCGGCAGCGACACUGUGUGUUGUUGGGUAGGGGAGCGUUCUGUAAGCCUGUGAAGGUGUGUCGUGAGGCAUGCUGGAGGUAUCAGAAGUGCGAAUGCUGACAUAAGUAACGAUAAAGCGGGUGAAAAGCCCGCUCGCCGGAAGACCAAGGGUUCCUGUCCAACGUUAAUCGGGGCAGGGUGAGUCGACCCCUAAGGCGAGGCCGAAAGGCGUAGUCGAUGGGAAACGGGUUAAUAUUCCCGUACUUGGUGUUACUGCGAAGGGGGGACGGAGAAGGCUAUGUUGGCCGGGCGACGGUUGUCCCGGUUUAAGCGUGUAGGUGUGUGUUCCAGGUAAAUCCGGUUCACUUUAACACUGAGGCGUGACGACGAGGCACUACGGUGCUGAAGCAACAAAUGCCCUGCUUCCAGGAAAAGCCUCUAAGCAUCAGGUAACAUCAAAUCGUACCCCAAACCGACACAGGUGGUCAGGUAGAGAAUACCAAGGCGCUUGAGAGAACUCGGGUGAAGGAACUAGGCAAAAUGGUGCCGUAACUUCGGGAGAAGGCACGCUGACACGUAGGUGAAGUGAUUUACUCAUGGAGCUGAAGUCAGUCGAAGAUACCAGCUGGCUGCAACUGUUUAUUAAAAACACAGCAC
rnacentral:rRNA from 1 species